rnacentral:tRNA from 1 species
GGGUCGAUUCCCGAGCGGUCAAAGGGGGCAGACUGUAAAUCUGCUGGCUCAGCCUUCGUAGGUUCGAAUCCUACUCGGCCCACCA